rnacentral:tRNA from 1 species
AUUUAAUUAGUUUAUAAAAAAUUUUGAUUUGUGGAAUCAAGGAAGUAUAAAUAAGUACAUUAAAUU